AACGAACGCUGGCGGCAGGCCUAACACAUGCAAGUCGAGCGAAGCCUUCGGGCUUAGCGGCGGACGGGUGAGUAACGCGUGGGAACGUGCCCUUUGGUACGGAAUAGCCCCGGGAAACUGGGAGUAAUACCGUAUGUGGUCGAGAGACGAAAGAUUUAUCGCCAAAGGAUCGGCCCGCGUUGGAUUAGGUAGUUGGUGGGGUAAUGGCCUACCAAGCCGACGAUCCAUAGCUGGUUUGAGAGGAAGAUCAGCCACACUGGGACUGAGACACGGCCCAGACUCCUACGGGAGGCAGCAGUGGGGAAUCUUAGACAAUGGGGGAAACCCUGAUCUAGCCAUGCCGCGUGAUCGAUGAAGGCCUUAGGGUUGUAAAGAUCUUUCAGUGGGGAAGAUAAUGACUGUACCCACUGAAGAAGCCCCGGCUAACUCCGUGCCAGCAGCCGCCGUAAGAC
rnacentral:rRNA from 1 species